AAGAGGGACAUCGUAUCAUUUCCCAAAUUGUUCAAAAAUUAGUUGAUUAAUCUAUGUUUUUUCACAAGAGAAGUAUUUUUCCUUCUAUUUUCUUCUGUUUAAGAACUUAGAAAAAUAUAACCCUUUCUCUCUCUUCAAAAAUACUCUGCCUUCUCUCAUCAAUCCUCCAUUGUUGAAGCUUGCUCUCCGACUCCGGUUGCUCUCUCAGAGCCGGAGUCGGGUUUAGUUUCUUUGAAUCAUCCUUUUUGGUUUCAAUCGGUUUAGAUCUUCAUGUCUUGUUCUCGUUUUCCUCUUUGGUUGGAUUUCAGAUCUAGAUCUUAUCUUUACCGGGGGAUGAGAGCUUGCAUGUCGUUCUCUGUGUGUGAUAUUGAUCGAUCUAGUUGAAGUGAGUUGGGUUCUGUUUCCCUUCUUUUUGGUCGCAUUAUGAACCUGUUUUUGGGUUAAAUGAUUUGCAUGUUGGCUUUGAACUCUCUUUGGCUCAUUUUGGGUCUCGAUCUUCGUCCUUCUUGAUCUCUCGAGAAUGGCUGAACCCAUUUAUGAGUUGUCUCGCUCCUUGUCAUUUACCAAAAGAUUUGAUCGAGUUCUUAUCUCUCGUCUUGCUUCAUCUCGACGUCUCGUGACGUUCUAUCUCCGUCAACGCAUUCCCGGUUGUAGACUUAAGAACUGAAAUUGUUCUGUCUCCUGGAUCUUGAAAGCUUGAAGCACUGGUCUCUUAAUCGCAUGGAUUAUUCUCUAUAGGAGGAGUCACAAGCCGGAGGUUUUAGCUUUGGAUAGCAUCCUCGCCUUGUCUCGUUCAAAGGGGUUCAUUUGAAGUCAUCGUGCUUUAUUGUUCACUGUUUUGUAAAGGUUCUUUUGUUUGGUUCCUCACUUCUUCUAUUUUAGAUUGGUUAGUAUUAAGGAUGGUUCAUGUUCUUAUCUUUAAUUCCUAUGUUUGGGCUUAGCUUCUCCGUUGUUGGAGCCUUGGACUCUGGAGGUUUUUUAUAAACCUGCCGGCAAAUGUAACCUAAACUGUACUCCACCCGUGUAAUCUCUGUUGGUUAAUAUAAUUAGUGUUAAAAAAAAAUCUAUGUUUUUUCACUUUAAAGGUG
rnacentral:lncRNA from 1 species